CAGUAGCCACGGGAAUACGUAGGUGGCGAGCGUUGUCCGGAUUUAUUGGGCGUAAAGGGAGUGUAGGCGGUCUUUUAAGUCUGAUGUGAAAGCCCACGGCUCAACCGUGGAGGGUCAUUGGAAACUGGGAGACUUGAGUGCAGGAGAGAAAAGUGGAAUUCCUAGUGUAGCGGUGAAAUGCGUAGAGAUUAGGAGGAACACCAGUGGCGAAGGCGGCUUUUUGGCCUGUAACUGACACUGAGGCGCGAAAGCGUGGGGAGCAAACAGGAUUAGAUACCCCUGUAGUCCUUGUCUCUUAUAC
rnacentral:rRNA from 1 species